rnacentral:rRNA from 1 species
CCCUUAGAGUUUGAUCCUGGCUCAGGACGAACGCUGGCGGCGUGCUUAACACAUGCAAGUCGAACGAAGAGCGAUGGAAGCUUGCUUCUAUCAAUCUUAGUGGCGAACGGGUGAGUAACGCGUAAUCAACCUGCCCUUCAGAGGGGGACAACAGUUGGAAACGACUGCUAAUACCGCAUACGAUCCAAUCUCGGCAUCGAGACUGGAUGAAAGGUGGCCUCUAUUUAUAAGCUAUCACUGAAGGAGGGGAUUGCGUCUGAUUAGCUAGUUGGAGGGGUAACGGCCCACCAAGGCGAUGAUCAGUAGCCGGUCUGAGAGGAUGAACGGCCACAUUGGGACUGAGACACGGCCCAGACUCCUACGGGAGGCAGCAGUGGGGAAUCUUCCGCAAUGGACGAAAGUCUGACGGAGCAACGCCGCGUGAGUGAUGACGGCCUUCGGGUUGUAAAGCUCUGUUAAUCGGGACGAAUGGUUCUUGUGCGAA